rnacentral:lncRNA from 1 species
AAUCCCCUAAAGAAGAGACGCACCCUGGAACAAAAAGGGAUACAAGGUCUAACUUGUUGCUGAUGUUUCGAUUGGCUGAUCAUGGCAUCCGAUAAAAAAUAAAAGAUCUUGUUCUAGAGCCCAUGGGACCCUUCUCCCCGAUUUUAAUUCCUCGCAGCCACAAAUGCUCUUUGGACAGCUGUGGCAUGCGAGAUGGGGACUCCGCUAGGCGGCGGUGGGCAAUCAGAUCCAGCGCAGCCCUCAUCUAGGGAAGAGAAGAUCACAAACACCAGAAUAACGCCCAGUCCCGAGAGCCCUGCAAGAGAGACUCCAUCCUGAUGGAAUGACCCAGAAGGCUUCGCAGGGCCUGAGGCAUUUAAGAGGGUCCACCUCUUAAUGGCUGUGGUUUUGUUGGGCUUCCUGCUUCCCAAGUUUCAGAAAUUGUUUGUCCACCUCCGCUGUAGGAGAGCGAGCUACUGCGUUUAAAAGCCUUCGUCCUCUUCGGGAGGCUGGUAAAGGUGGUCAGGAUUUCCAAGAAGCAUUUCUUCAAAGAGGAAGUGAAGAAAGCCUGGGUCCCCCUCAUGCUGCACUGCCAGGAUCCCUGCUCCAAUGCAGCCCAGGAAUCAUUAUGAAGCAGAUGUCUGCACGUUACCUGAAAAAGCUGGACUUUCCUACAUUACGGAAUUAUUCCUGACUGUAAGGUGAUGUCGCCCCAGAGCCAAGACAGUGGAACAAAGGGCAACUUCACUCCCGCUUCCCCCGAGUGUGUGUACGUCCGGCAGCUCCUCUCGGCCCAGAGGAUCUGGAGCCCCCUUUGUGUCUUCAUCGCAUUUCAGUUCCACAGUUCCACCCAUGCGGAUGGGCCUGCUGGACCAGGAUGGGGAGGGACCCAGCAAGGCCUGGAGCAGAGCCCAGCAGAGGGUCAAGAAGGAGGAAUUAUCUCCAAGCCCAAGAAACAAGCAGGCACCACCCUGGGCACCAUGGGCGGAGGUGCUGCUGAGCAGUCCCGGAAAUCAACCUGCACCAGAGGCUUCUGGGAAGCGUGCUCUCACACUGUUUGGCGGCUCCCGUGGAAUAGACAGUGAAGUUAUUUCCUGCCAAGUGAUGAAGAUCGUUGCUGCCGGAAGACUUGAGUCCCACUGACGCAGUUGAAAGGGAUGUGCCCUUCGGUACAGGUCCUGGGGGAAGCCAUACAAUUGUAAAAUCAGGUCUCUGAUCAAUUCCCUUAAUGCCCCUGCGAAACAUUUCCAGAUGAUUUAUAGACCCAAACUCAGAAAGCAAAAAUUUAAGACAACAUAGUAUUGUCUUAAACCUACCCUAGGUUUUCCUUUAAAAGUAAUAGAAGCCAGCAAAAAUAAAGCAUCAACUUUUCUAUGUUAAAAUAUAUCUUCCGUACGAUAAAAUAUCGUAAAGUUAAACAAGUCGCAGAUGGAAGAAGUUACUUGCAAUUUAUUUAAAACUAGAUUGAUUCAUAUAAUUGAAUUGGCAUACAGAAUAUGCCCACAUCAGUAAUACAGCAAAUUAAAAAGCAGUGUCAUGAGAGAGUGCUUGAAAAGCCAGUCCCCCCAGGAAGGCCUGCGAACUGCAAUGCUGUGCAUUUCACACCCACCGCAGUGGCGCUGGCUAGUGGCAGCGGUGUGGGGAAAUGGGAUCUUUUAUUAUUGCUGGAUGGAGUGCAAAUGGGAUUAGGCAUUUGGGAGAGGACUUUGGCAAUAAUUAUGGAAGUUGAAGACAUGAC